AACGAGGCGCUAACUACAAAGACACAGCGCCGGUCAGCUGACGACAUCAACACACCAUCCGGUAGUGUUAAUGUCGACUUGGUGAUGACUGAAACGUCGUCGUCUCCUCAUCUUCCGGUGUGUGGUGUUUACGGUCAUCACACCAUCUUGUCCUCGCCGCCACGGGCAUCUUGAGGCGCUGUGACUCGCCUUCCAGCCUUACACCACUCCAGCAGUCAUAUUGGAGAAGAACCUUACCGCCAGCGCGUCGUACAGUCUUAAGACAUUGAUAUAAGUUUAUUAGGGGUAUAACUACACAUUAAGGGAUCUCGCCCCGUUGCCGUCAAGAUGUGAUCGCACUUCAUAUUUCUACAGCUGAAUAUUCAGAGUGUCAGCAACGAGCGGAUGGAAGUAGCGCAAGAGAAUAAUCAAGAGAAUGCAACAUGUGGAAAGAUAAUAACGGGCGCGGCCACCUAUUCCUCUCCCUGAAACACCGUUCGCCAGACACCACAGG